UGGGGGAUAUUGCACAAUGGGCGAAAGCCUGAUGCAGCGACGCCGCGUGGGGGAUGAAGGCCUUCGGGUUGUAAACUUCUUUUGCUCUGAACAAGGCGCACCAUGGGGUGUGUUGAGUGUAGGGGUUGAUUAGCGCCGGCUAACUACGUGCCAGCAGCCGCGGUAAUACGUAGGGCGCGAGCGUUGUCCGGAAUUAUUGGGCGUAAAGGGCUUGUAGGUGGCUGGUUGCGUCUGUCGUGAAAGCUCAUGGCUUAACUGUGGGUUUGCGGUGGGUACGGGCUGGCUUGAGUGCAGUAGGGGAGGCUGGAAUUCCUGGUGUAGCGGUGGAAUGCGCAGAUAUCAGGAGGAAGACCGGUGGCGAAGGCGGGUCUCUGGGCUGUUACUGACACUGAGGAGCGAAAGCAUGGGGAGCGAACAGG
rnacentral:rRNA from 1 species